rnacentral:rRNA from 1 species
GUGCACCAGGCGCGAAUCUUCCCCAAUGGACGAAAGUCUGAGGGAGCGACGCCGCGUGAAUGAAGAAGCCCUUCGGGGUGUAAAAUUCUUUUCUUUAGGAAAAUUCGUGAUGGUACUAAAGGAAUAAGGGGCCGCCAAACUCGUAGCCAGCAGCGGGCGGUAAUACGAGUGCCCCGAGCGUUAUCCGGAAUUACUGGGCGUAAAGCGGCUAAAAGGCGGUUUGAUAAGUCAGACGUCAAAUCUCCGAGCUCAAC